GGCCAGACUCCUACGGGAGGCAGCAGUGGGGGAUAUUGCACAAUGGGGGGAACCCUGAUGCAGCGACGCCGCGUGGGUGAAGAAGCGCCUCGGCGCGUAAAGCCCUGUCAGCAGGGAAGAAAAUGACGGUACCUGAAGAAGAAGCCCCGGCUAACUACGUGCCAGCAGCCGCGGUAAUACGUAGGGGGCAAGCGUUAUCCGGAUUUACUGGGUGUAAAGGGGGCGCAGACGGCGAUGCAAGCCAGGAGUGAAGGCCCAGGGCCCAACCCCGGGACUGCUCUUGGAACUGCGCGGCUGGAGUGCAGGAGGGGCAGGCGGAAUUCCUGGUGUAGCGGUGAAAUGCGUAGAUAUCAGGAGGAACACCGGUGGCGAAGGCGGCCUGCUGGACUGCGACUGACGUUGAGGCCCGAAAGCGUGGGGAGCAAACAGGAUUAGAUACCCCAGUA
rnacentral:rRNA from 1 species